rnacentral:rRNA from 1 species
GAGUUUGAUCAUGGCUCAGGACGAACGCUGGCGGCGUGCUUAAUACAUGCAAGUCAACGAGAAACAGGGUGCUUGCAUCCUGUGGACAGUGGCGCACGGGUGCGUAACACGUAGGUAAUCUGCCCUUAGGACUGACAUAACUCCGGGAAACCGAAGCUAAUAUCAGAUAAUGCAGCGGCUCGGCAUCGAGACAGUUGUUAAAUCUUCGGAGCCUAAGGAUGAACCUGCGUCCCAUUAGGUAGUUGGUGAGGUAAAUGCUCACCAAGCCUGCGAUGGGUAGCUGGUCUGAGAGGAUGAUCAGCCACACUGGAACUGAGACACGGUCCAGACUCCUACGGGAGCAGCAGUAAGGAUAUUGCUCAAUGGGAGAAAUCCUGAAGCAGCGACGCCGCGUGGAGGAUGAAGGCAUAUUUGUUGUAAACUCCUGUAAGAAGGGAAAAAUGGGUCUGUUUACAGACUUUGAUUGUACCUUCAGAGUAAG